rnacentral:rRNA from 1 species
AUAUUGGACAAUGGGCGAAAGCCUGAUCCAGCAAUGCCGCGUGGGUGAAGAAGGUCUUCGGAUUGUAAAGCCCUUUCGGCGGGGACGAUGAUGACGGUACCCGCAGAAGAAGCCCCGGCUAACUUCGUGCCAGCAGCCGCGGUAAUACGAAGGGGGCUAGCGUUGCCCGGAAUGACUGGGCGUAAAGGGCGCGUAGGCGGCGCACUUAGUCAGGCGUGAAAGUCCUGGGCUCAACCUGGGGACGGCGCUUGAUACGGGUGUGCUUGAGUAUGAAAGAGGGUCGUGGAAUUCCCAGUGUAGAGGUGAAAUUCGUAGAUAUUGGGAAGAACACCGGUAGCGAAGGCGGCGACCUGGUUCAUGACUGACGCUGAGGCGCGAAAGCGUGGGGAGCAAACAGG